rnacentral:tRNA from 1 species
GGAGAAGUCGCCUAGUCCGGCCGAGGGCGCAUGAUUGGAAAUCAUGUAUACCGCAAGGUAUCGAGGGUUCGAAUCCCUCCUUCUCCGCCA